GUGUCACGUGGUAUUAGCUCUUAAUUUCCUUACAUUUUAUGCUCAAAGCAUGAAGAAAAGCGGUUCUGGAAGAGGAACUGAAUCUUUUGCAAGAGAUAAAUCUGUAAGUAAUGAGAACCGAGAAGAACUGGUUAAAUUGUGCCUCUGGCUUGGAGAUGAGCAGAAGUUUCUGAAUAAUUAUGGAAUGAUCUGGGUUGGAAGUUGCAAAGAACAUGAUGAGCAGGCCAACAGCCAACUUCCUAGAGCAAGUAAUGCAUGCAAGACUUUUGAAAUGAACUAUGACCUGGUCCUGCAGAACAUCCAGGAACUGAACAUCAUAGCAGGGGAAGGGGAAUCCCAUGUGACCGCCACUCCUGGUGGAGCCAAACUUACCCAGCAGCUUCCGUACCUCUUUGGCUAA
ensembl:lncRNA